GCCUACCAUGGUGGUAACGGGUAACGGGGUGUUAGGGCACGACACCGGAGAGGGAGCCUGAGAAACGGCUACCACAUCCAAGGAUGGCAGCAGGCGCGCAAAUUACCCAAUCCCGACACGGGGAGGUAGUGACAAUAAAUAACAAUACGGGGUUCUUUAGGAUCUCGUAAUUGGAAUGAGUACAAUUUAAAUCUCUUAACGAGGAACAAUUGGAGGGCAAGUCUGGUGCCAGCAGCCGCGGUAAUUCCAGCUCCAAUAGCGUAUAUUAAAGUUGUUGCAGUUAAAAAGCUCGUAGUUGAAUUUCGGGGUUAGUAGGUUGGUCAUGCCUCUGGUAUGUACUGGUCUCACUGAUUCCUCCUUCCUUAUGAACCGUAAUGCCAUUAAUUUGGUGUUGCGGGGAAUUUGGACUGUUACUUUGAAAAAAUUAGAGUGUUUAAAGCAAGCUAACGCUUGAAUACAUUAGCAUGGAAUAAUGAAAUAGGACGUUCGAUCUUAUUUUGUUGGUUUCUAGGAUUGACGUAAUGAUUAAUAGGGAUAGUUGGGGGCAUUAGUAUUCAAUUGUCAGAGGUGAAAUUCUUGGAUUUAUUGAAGACUAACUACUGCGAAAGCAUUUGCCAAGGAUGUUUUCAUUAAUCAAGAACGAAAGUUAGGGGAUCGAAGACGAUCAGAUACCGUCGUAGUCUUAGCCAUAAACUAUGCCGACUAGGGAUCGGA
rnacentral:rRNA from 1 species